AAGGGGGUCCAGGUCCUGGGCUCACAACUUUAUUGUUUUGGCGCUAUAUAAGUAAAAUUGAAUUGAAUUGAACUGUGUUGAUUUGAAUUGAACUGUGUUCACAGGUUCGGUGGCGGCGCAGAUGCCACCCCCGGCUGCCCCCCCGCCGCGCUGAAGGGCUUUAAGGAGUUCCUGCUGGGUCUGGACCCUGCAGUGGGAGAGGUGGAGGCGGUCAGGUGCUACAGCGACUACAAGGUCACCUUCAGGAGGCAGCAGAUAGAAGCCUUCUUCCUAGCACACAGAGAGGAGGAGUGGUUCCGCCUCAGAUACCACCCAGAAGACACUGAGCGUCGGGAUGCCGAGACCCACAAUGCUUUGCAGAAGAGACUGGGCGUCUUCAUGUACCUCCUGGGAAAGGGCUGGUUUGAUAAUGUCACACUGGACAUUGCGCAAGCCCCAGCCAUCAUAAAGGUGUUAGACGCAGUCCAAAUACGGUUUGAGGGAGGAACAGAGAAUGACCUGCGGGUUCUGGAGAUGCCCACGAAGAAACAGGGAGAGAAGGAGGAGAGGAGGAAGGGAGAGGAGGAGGAGAGGAGAAAGAAGGAGGAGAGGAGAAAGGAGGAGAGGCGGAAGGGGGAGGAGGAGAGGAGGAAGAGAGAGGAGGAGGAGAGGAGAAAGAAGGAGGAGAGGAGAAAGGAGGAGAGGCUUCUCUCUGGAGAAAUCCAGUCUGAGGCCCAAAAGCAAGAUGAGGGCCAAGCCGUAGAUCCAGAGAACAUACUCACACCCGGGGCAGAGAAGGUGUGUGUGUGUGUGUGUGUGUGUGUGUGUGUGUGUGUGUGUGUGUGUGUGUGUGUGUGUGUGAGUGUGUGUGGAUAAAUAUGUAGAGAUUUUGCCACCUCUUCAGCCUGUGGCCUGCCAAAAGGCCUAUGGCAUAUGAUAUUGGUGAAAAAGUGAUGUGUGUGCAUGUGUUUAGCACCUUCUCAUUCACCAACAUACACACACACACACACACACACACACACACACACACACACACACAAAUGCAUGCUAAUGCCUAUUAACCCCUGUUAGCUGGCCAGGAAAAGGAAGCACAUUGAGGGGGAGGAUAUCAGUGAGUCUGCAGCCGCGGCCUCCAUCUUGCAUCCCUUCGACCAAUCAGCUGAAUGGGAAACAGGCGGGAAGAAACGAACGGAGGACACUUCAAAUAGAGACAAAGAGGACAAAAAAGGUUGAUGUCCAAUAACACUAUUGUUUUUUUAUUAUUAUUAUUAUUAUUUUUUUUUGGUCAUCUGGGUAUUGACAAGAGUACAAUCAAAACAUGACACAUUUACAAUACCUUAAUA
rnacentral:lncRNA from 1 species